AGGACCCUGGAACAACCCAGAAAUUAUAGAAAUUCUUCAGGCAGUAUCCGCGACUAAAGAAGUAUACAAUAAUGGGGAAAACAGUGGUCUGGAUUCAGAUGAGGCACAGUUUCUUGCCUAUUAGGCAUCGCAGGACAAUGGCCAAAAUAAAGGGGCCAAUGCCACCUCCGCAACAGAAGAAGAUUUAGAGUACAAGGAAACGACAUUCGUUGAGAAGCAUCAGGCUCAGAAAAUCCAGGCACUGGAAGCAGCACUUGCAAACGCCAGUCUUGUAAGAAAAGUUCACACGUCAUAUGCUUUAAAUCCCCUGCAAAAUUCUGAUGCUUGAUGAUCUUCGCAUACCAGAAAUUCAAAUCAUUGGAAAUAGUUCUUGAGGACACCAAGAAGGUAUUGAAAGAACUUGAGCAACACAUAGAAGCACUGAGAAUUUAACAUAACAAGAGAAGUUAUCAUACCAGCUGGAACAAUGAGGCGCGUUGAUCCUAAGUAUGUUUGUUCAGGUGUACCCCGUGACAACUGAUCAGAGGCAGAGCUAUGUUGGGACCAGAGAUGGCCAUGUCCCAAUGGUUCUCUCAAAUGUGCUUGUAAAUGUGAUGUGAUUCUCCUCACUAUCAUUUCACUGGGAAGACAUUGCCUCCCCACAUUGGACAGGAUAUGGCUUUUAGCAUAAGGCAAUUAUGUGAUUCUACUGUGUCAAUGAAUUGGGUAUUAUCAUGAUCAUCAUAUUGGUAACACUACUCUCUAUUCUUUAUUUUUGGACCCAUUGAAUUGUUUAGUUACUUGAGAUUAAAUUUAUAUAUAAUUAAUAUUAUAAUUUAUUUAAAUUAAAAAAUAUAUUAUUACUUAAGCAAGAAGCAAGCUCAUUAGACAGGUAGUCAAAGUUUCAUUCCACCUGUAAUGUCUCAUGAGCUUUAUUACUGGACGAACAAUUUUUUUUUCAUUAAUUAAUAUUUUAAUUAAAUCGUAUUAUUUUAUAUAAUCAACUUUUAAUAUUUUUAAAGCUA
rnacentral:misc_RNA from 1 species